CUUUUUACAUUUCCUUUUAAGUUCUAUUGCAUAAAAAAUCCACACUCUUACAUUUUUCUUAAGCUUUUCUUUAAUGGCUUCCAUGUUCUGCACUUUUAUGUUUGUUAGUUUAGUCUUUCAUAUGGGUAACUAAACUUUUACAGCAUGUUUGGUUCGACGGAAUGGCCAUUCCAUUCUGCCCCUAUUCCACGCGCUACAGUGACCCGUUGUUUGGUUGAAAUUUGACCGCCGAAUAGCUAUUCCGUGCGGGCUCUAUUACGCGUAAACGUUGUAUAACCAUUCAGAAGGUCAGACGCUGAAUGCCUAUUCAAUGGCUCUCGUAAUAGCUUUUUUUUUUCAGACGAAAAUCUCCUUCCAUUUCCACUCAUCAUUCAGACGAAAAUCUUCUUGGGUUUUCCAUAAAAUGCAUAGAAUACUCUCUGUUUUUGGAUUUUGGGUGUGGCGGAUUUGCGUGUGCUGGAAAAUAUAGAGAAAUCGAUGUCGAAGGCGGAGCUUUCCAAAGAAAUGCGUACGUCUCCCACUGUGCAGCCCAGCAAUUGUGGGAACGGCGAGGCUCCGAUCAAUUAUCAGCUAUUAUUGUUGACAAUCUUGGAGAAGGACUGCCCUGUGUUUGAAAACUUGUUUGAAUUUUGUCAAAUUUAUGCUGGUGGGACAAUAGGUAAAUUCUGAUAUGGUGGGCUGUUUCUCUUAAUUUGAUAUGUGUAUUUUCAGUUGCAAUUGAUUGUCAUGGCUGGCAGAUGCUGCAAGAAGAUUAAACAAUCAGUUAUGUGAUAUUACUAUAAAUUGGGCUGGUGAUUUAUAUCAUGCCAAUAAGUGGGAGGCAUUUAGGUUUUGUUACAUCAAUGACUUGGUUUUGGGAAUCUUGGAGUUUCUGAAGUAUCAUGCCCAUGUAUUAUAUAUUGAUAUAGAUGUACAUCAUACCCGUGUAUUCUAGUUAUAGACGAACUUAGAUUCAUGCCAUCAUAAUUCAAGAUUCAGAGUGGUUUCAUCACUUGUCAUGGAUUAUGUUCUUGUAAAAUUGCUGGUAGAACAUUGGAAACAGAGGAGUCAUGUGUAAAGAAUUCUUUGAUUGAUAUUUGUAACUUCAUAUAAACUACUAGUUGCAAUUGUAGUUGUUGCAUUGAAGACAAAACUAUAAUAACUCCACUUUCAGAGUUUAUGAAGAGUAUAACGAGGAGCGCAUGUACAGCACCAAGCUCCACUGUACUAAGUAUACAUAGACAGCAUACGUUCGUGUAAUUUGCUUGAUGAGAAAAGCAAACAAGUUGGAACAUUCUUCUCUUCCGUUCGGGUCUCCCUUGCCAAAAAAUGAGCAAUGAUAUGAAAAUAUCAGAUAACCAGUGGAAUUCCUUGUCUUUCCUGCCAUGAAAGUAAGACAUUAUGCAAGUGGAAUUCCUUCUCUACCGUGGCUCGUGGUAGGCAGCUUUUCUGGCACCCACUUUUGAAGGUAUUAUUCUGAAACAUAGAAUUCCAAAAGAAUACAUGCAAGUUUGAAUUUCAUUGUUCUUGUUGCUACAGCUAGAAAUAAUUAAAAUUAUAUAACGUGAUAGAACUUUGAUGCAUGGAUUGAUUUUUCAUUGUUAUGUACCCACUGUAAUGGCCAAUUUUGACCCGGGCCUAGACCACAAUAAUAAAACCCAAACAAAUAAUAAAACAAUCCCAAAAUAAGUGUCCAUUUACAUAUUAAAUCCAGGCCUAAACUAUCCAAACCCAACAAGCCCAACAGGCCCAAAUAACCUAAACCCUAGCCCCAUUAACCCAAAACAUUUUCAGCAGAAAAAAAGAAGUGAAGGAACCCUAGCAUUGCA